rnacentral:rRNA from 1 species
CCUACGGGAGGCAGCAGUGGGGAAUUUUGGACAAUGGGCGAAAGCCUGAUCCAGCAAUGCCGCGUGUGUGAUGAAGGCCUUCGGGUUGUAAAGCACUUUUGGCGGGAACGAAAAGGACUGUGCCAAUACCACGGUUCGAUGACGGUACCCGCAGAAUAAGCACCGGCUAGCUACGUGCCAGCAGCCGCGGUAAUACGUAGGGUGCAAGCGUUAAUCGGAAUUACUGGGCGUAAAGAGUGCGCAGGCGGUUUUGCAAGACCGAUGUGAAAUCCCCGGGCUUAACCUGGGAACUGCAUAGGUGACUGCAAGGCUAGAGUGUGUCAGAGGGAGGUGGAAUUCCGCAUGUAGCAGUGAAAUGCGUAGAUAUGCGGAGGAACACCGAUGGCGAAGGCAGCCUCCUGGGAUAACACUGACGCUCAUGCACGAAAGCGUGGGGAGCAAACAGGAUUAGAUACCCUGGUAGUCCACGCCCUAAACGAUGUCUACUAGUUGUCGGGGAUUAAUUUCCUUGGUAACGCAGCUAACGCGUGAAGUAGACCGCCUGGGGAGUACGGUCGCAAGAUUAAAACUCAAAGGAAUUGACGG